GAUGAACGCUAGCGGCAGGCUUAACACAUGCAAGUCGAGGGGUAUUGGUUUUCGGACCAAGAGACCGGCGCACGGGUGCGUAACGCGUAUGCAAUCUACCUUUUGCAGAGGGAUAGCCCAGAGAAAUUUGGAUUAAUACCUCAUAGUAUAGUACUUUGGCAUCAGGGAACUAUUAAAGUCACAACGGCAAAAGAUGAGCAUGCGUCCCAUUAGCUAGUUGGUAAGGUAACGGCUUACCAAGGCUACGAUGGGUAGGGGUCCUGAGAGGGAGAUCCCCCCACACUGGUACUGAGACACGGACCAGACUCCUACGGGAGCAGCAGUGAGGAAUAUUGGACAAUGGGCGCAAGCCUGAUCCAGCCAUGCCGCGUGCAGGAUGACGGUCCUAUGGAUUGUAAACUGCUUUUANACAGGAAGAAACACUCCGACGUGUCGGAGCUUGACGGUACUGUAAGAAUAGGAUCGGCUAAACUCCGUGCCAGCAGCCG
rnacentral:rRNA from 1 species